rnacentral:lncRNA from 1 species
UCUAUAUUGGCAAUCCUGGUCUUUGUGGGUUUCCUCUGAAUCAAAGUUGCAAAGACAAUGAGACAGCACAAGGUCGAAGUAAUGCAGAUGACAGAGAUGACAACGAGAUGAUAUGGUUCUACAUGAGCAUGGCACCAGGAUUUGUUGUUGGUUUCUGGGCAGUCUGGGGUACAUUGAUACUAAACAAGAAUUGGAACCUUUACUACUUCAGAUUUAUAGACAAUAUACUUGACAAAGUGUAUGUGUUCACCGUACUGAAAGUUUCUAGGAUCAGAAAACGUUGUUGUUUCCAACAAGGAUGAUAAAUUUGAACAUCAAUAUAUGCUGUAUGAGAGUUCAUCUCGUUAAUAUCAUAUCAUCAGCUUGAAUAAAAUUUAAUACUUCUGGACUUGUAUACAAGUAAGUCAUGCACUCUCAAUUUUGAUCAUUUCUGUCAAGUUCGCAGUACCAUAUGAAGUGUUCUAAUUCUGGGGACUGCCAAAAAGCUUGCACCUUUUAAUUAGUUUUUCCAAAAUAGACACCCCUUUUUUAGUUGUUCAGUUUGGCAGAAAUGAAAGGAGGUUAAAACUUUUACGAAGAUAUAGAUAGAAUUUCUGCAGCUGCGACAGAUGGAGCUGUUUAAUAUGAUCUACUCAUGUAAUGAUCCUCUUGUGUUUGAGAUGCUUGUCUUCAUCAAUCAAAUACAUAUUGGAUGCAUCAUAAGCUCAAGUCCACCAAAUGUGCAGCUGCUUGAUCAUCUUGGAUCUCAUGCUCAGAUCUUUUCACUUGAUGAGUCUCCCAUUAAUGGGGGACAUGCUGCUGCAGAUGAUGGAAUUGGGCCGAAGAGGCUUUCACACGCAUGUCAAUGUGACAAGGAUGAUCUGUGCAUGCAGGAAUAAUCCAUUUAUGAUAUACAGAGUGUGGCCCCUCUCUGAGCCGCUCACAUUGAAUUUUGCCAUGGAUUCUGUGUUAUGACUCGGGAUGUAGACGAGCUUCAUUUGAUUACCUGUUGCCAUUAGCACUCAAACGUAAGCAAAGUUCAUAGGAAUGUAAUUCUUGGUUCAAACUGUUUUGUAGACGCAAAACAAAGAAGAGGUGUUACAUCAACAUUUUCUUAUGGAUCUAAUUAUCACCCUCCAUAAAUAAGAGUGAUUAAGAUCAGGAGUGAAUCGAGAUUAAUAAUUUUUCUAGUAUCCAAUAAAUAAAAAAUUAUGUAUUUUUAUUUAAUUAUAGACAUUAUCUUGUACAAAACUCGAGAAUUGAUUUUAAAUAAUUGUUAUUAUUUUUGUAAAUAAAAAGAUCUAUUGCUCAAAAGAUAAUGUGUUAUUUAUAGAAAUGUAAGUUUGACUAGAAAUCCCACCACGAGAGAUUUCUUGAAAUAUAUUAAAAAUUAAUUAUUUUGAUCAUCUUGGCUAAACAAAAAAAUGUUGGUAAAAGGAAAACUUAGGUACUAAGAUAUCAAGUUGGUAUCAUCAGCAAGAAUUGUAUAAAUUAGAGAGUCCAAUUGAUAUAGAUGAGAAGGUAUGACAUGAGAAGAUUAUUAAUAUGGUUUAAUUGUUAAUAAUUCAUAAAUACUAGGUCGUAUUUAAUAUUAUUUCUUAAUUUAUAAAUGUCAUCGGCUCAUGUUAAUCUUUUCUGUAUCGUUCUAAUUUUAUUGGAUGUUUCUAGGUUAUGCUGGGCUUUGACGAAGAUAUCAAGUGAAAAAGUUUAUAAUAUCUUGAUUUAUAGAGUAGACAUAAUUAAGAUUGAUUUAUAAAGAUAUGAUGGACUUACUAUUAUUAAUUUUAACUUAAACACUUUAAUCAAUGGUUUAAGUUUUAAUAGCUCAUUAGUUUGUUAAGAGUAUCGACACAAUGACAGGGAGAUACAUGAUUAAGCUAGUCUCACACAAUGAUAGAGUGAUGCAUGGUUAAUCCCUUUAUGCAAGAUUUACUUUUUUAACAUGAGAUGAUCAUUGUUUUCUUUGUUUUUCAUGAGUAAAGUUAGCAUGUUCUCGAAGAUAAAAGAAAAAAAAAUUGACACGACAAGAGAGGAAUGGUAGCAACAGAUUCUGAACACAAACUAAGAUUCAAAGAUGAUGCAACCUUGCUGUUGCAAAAGUAGAUGAGUAACUUGGCUCUGAUAGCUGGAAUUGAAGGUCUUCCUUCCUCUUGUUCUGCUCAGUUGCAUUAUCAUGUCAAUUUCCAGGAGAGUUUCCCAGCGACUGCUGAUCGCUGUCUUCUUGGUGACCACAAAUCUUGUCUUUCUUUUAUUCGUGUUAAUAAUGGUUGUCUGAUAGCUACAAAUUUCUCCUAUUUAGCAGUUCUUAGGAAAUUCUCAAAACCUUCACAUUCAAGAAGAUGCUGGAGUCUUUAGAUGAAAGCUAUUCCAACUUUGGGACUCGUCAAAAUCAGAAGUCAUAGUUGACUGACUUGAGGAUAGACAACAAUAUGAAAUGAAGAACAAGUGCAUGAUAUUGGCAGACAGCCUAAUUGUUGAAGGUUUCUUGGUCUACUCUUUGAAUCCGUCAGUUGAGUAGUUUCAGACUAACGGAGGAUGAUCCAAACAGGGCAUGAUAAUAAUAUUUUGUGUAUUGCAAGCUGUCCACCGCAGAUUUCUCAUGAUUAAUCUUAAGAUAAGCUGCGUAUUUUUAUUAUCUGUAAUCUAAGAUAAUUGUGUUGGUGUGAGAUGAUCCACUUUGAUCAAGUACACAAUUUCCCUCCCAAUCGAUGGAAUCAUGGUUGUGGUAAUAAUUGUUUUCAGGUGUAUGCAAAAAGGCAAAUCUACCUGUUCUGUGAAAUUUCUUGCCAGUUUCUAUGCACUACCGGUGCCAGAAAUAUGAAAAUCUAAUUAAAUACCUUGACGAAUUAAGCUGCCAUUAUGGUUGUUUUUCUAGUUUCUUGGACUCGUUUUAGACAUUACAAGUGUAUGACACUGGAUUUGCUCAGUAGAACAUCAUGGACGACCUUCUAUCAUUGUCAACCUAGAACAUCGNNNNNNNNNNNNNNNNNNNNNNNNNNNNNNNNNNNNNNNNNNNNNNNNNNNNNNNNNNNNNNNNNNNNNNNNNNNNNNNNNNNNNNNNNNNNNNNNNNNNNNNNNNNNNNNNNNNNNNNNNNNNNNNNNNNNNNNNNNNNNNNNNNNNNNNNNNNNNNNNNNNNNNNNNNNNNNNNNNNNNNNGUGCAGCAAUCAUACUGGGCAUGUCGUCAAGCUGGACCUCCAGAAUCCGCAUCCUUUCUCGGAUUUUGGUGACGAGCCAUACAACAACUGGACCUUAGGAGGUGAGUUGAGGCCUUCUUUACUUGGUCUGAAACACCUGAAGUACCUGGACCUAAGCAUGAACGAUUUUGGAGGCAUUAAUAUUCCAGAAUUCAUGGGGUCAUUCCAUCAACUCCAAUAUCUUAACCUCUCCAGAGCUGGAUUGGGUGGACUCCUGCCUCACCAGCUGGGAAAUCUCUCCAAUCUGCAGUAUCUAGACUUAUCCAAUGACUUGGAUCCCAAUUUUGUGGUUCCGGUCCGUGAAUUUAGCAUUGGUGAUGCACUCUGGAUUUCUCACCUUUCUUCUCUAAAGCAUCUCAACCUGAAGAGUGUUAACUUUCAAAAUGGUACGCACUGGCUGGAAGCUCUGAACAUGCUUCCUUCUAUUCUGGAGAUAUACUUAUCUCUCUGCGAAAUUGGAAGUGUUCCCCACUCUCUUCCGCAUGUGAACUUUACAUCACUGUCUGUUCUUGAUUUGUCCUAUAAUUUCAUUAGCUCUACGAUACCCUCUUGGUUAUUCAACAUAAGUGGCCUUGAGCAUCUUGAUCUUAGUUCGAACAACCUUCAGGGUAAUAUUCCACCGACCUUUGGUAACUUGGCUUCCCUCGAGGAACUUAAUUUAGCUAACAAUCCUCUUCAAGGAGGAAUACCAACUUCCUUCAAAAAUCUGUGCAAGUUGCAGAAUUUAAUAUUGGCAGGCAUCAAUAUCAGCAAAGAUUUGUUAGGCCUUGAUGAAAGUUUUUCUGGUUGCGUCAAGAUGAGCCUAGAGGUUCUAGGCUUAUCCGGCACGAAUAUUAGUGGGCAGUUGCCUGAAUGGUUAUUCCAAUUCAGGAAGCUUAAAUCACUCCAGUUGAAGCAGAAUCUGAUUUCUGGGCCUAUUCCUGUAUCAAUUGGACAACUAGCAUCACUCCAAGAGCUCUUUCUUGGUCAAAAUCAAUUGAACGAAACAAUACCAGAAAGCGUGGGGUGGCUGUCUCAGCUUGUUUCUUUGGACCUUGAGCACAACAAUUUGGAGGGUGUAAUGUCUGAGGCGCAUUUUGGAAACCUCACAGAAUUGAAAGACUUGUAUUUGUCGUCCAACCCCUUGGCUCUAAAGGUCAAGAGCAAUUGGCUUCCUCCCUUCCAGCUUGAAUCCCUUCGGAUGGACUCUUGCAAACAGGGUCCUGAGUUCCCUGCAUGGCUCCAGUCGCAAAAAAAUAUUUCAGAAAUUGUUAUGUCUAAUGCUAGUAUUAUUGAUGCUAUGCCAGACUGGUUUUGGAGCUUAAUUUCCACAGCAGAGUACGUGAGUUUCUCCGGCAAUCAGAUCAGUGGCCACGUACCAAAUUUAUUGCAUUUAAACAACCUCAUCGAGUUGGAUUUAAGUUCAAACUACUUGGAGGGUCCUCUUCCAUAUUUUCCUCCUAGAUUGGAAGCAUUAGAUCUAUCAAACAAUUCAUUUUCAGGAACAAUUUCACUUGCCAUCAUCAUGAAUAUGCUAAACCUCAUGUAUUUAUCAUUUUCAGAAAACAAUUUAAGUGGUGAAAUUCCCUUCUCUAUAUGCAAACUGUCGGUCUUACAGUUUCUUGAUCUUUCAAAAAAUAUGUUAUCAGGAGAGCUCCCCAGUUGCUGGAAUGAUUCUUCCCCAAUUGAAUUUAUAGAUUUUUCAAGCAACAACAUAUCUGGAGUUAUUCCUGAGUCAAUAUGUUCCAUAGCAUCGCUUCAGUCGUUGCACUUGAGCAAUAACAGUCUAUCUGGAGAGCUGCCUUUGCCCUUGAAGGACUGUGGGAAAUUAUACCUUCUUGAUGCCGGAUAUAAUAAUUUGAAAGGUGAAAUUCCAACCUGGAUAGGUGAAAGUUUAACUAGUCUGAGGUUCCUCAAUCUGCGAUCAAAUAUGUUGGUCGGAGAUAUUCCUCCAAAUCUUUCAAGAUUGAGUGCUCUCCAAUUUCUCGACCUUGCGGGUAAUGAGCUAUCGGGUACUAUUCCAAGGAGCUUUGGAAAUUUUACUGCCAUGAAAGUAAUUGAAAAUUUUUCAAGUUCGACGACAGAUCAAAUUAGAUAUAAGGAGCAUAUGUUUAUUACAACUAAAGGAGACACUCAAGACUAUGGGAAGUCACUUUCGCUUAUGAAUAUUUUGGACCUCUCGGAUAAUAACUUAUUCGGAGGAGUACCUAAAGAAGUCACAAGUCUUUUUGGCUUAUUCAGCUUAAAUUUAUCUGGAAACCAUUUCACAGGAGAAAUCACUGAAAGUAUCAGUAAAUUACAACAAUUGGAGUCCCUUGACUUGUCAAGAAACAACUUUUCUGGCACAAUUCCUUCUAGCCUCGCUGCCUUGACUUAUUUGGCUCACUUGAACCUGUCAUACAACAACUUGUCAGGGGAAAUUCCUCUUGGUAAUCAACUUCUGACUUUCAAUGAUCCAUCGAUCUAUAUUGGCAAUCCUGAUCUUUGUGGGUUUCCUCUGAAUCAAAGUUGCAAAGAUAGUGAGACAGCACAAAGUCAAAGUAAUACAGAUGAUAGAGAUGAGAAUGAGAUGAUAUGGUUCUACACGAGCAUGGCACCAGGAUUUGUUGUUGGUUUCUGGGCAGUCUGGGGUACCUUAAUACUUAACAAGAAUUGGAACCUUUACUAUUUCCGAUUUAUAGACAACAUGCUUGACAAAGUAUAUGUGUUUAUCGUACUGAAAGUUUCUAGGAUCAGAAAACGUUGUUGUUCCCAACAAGGAUGAUAAAUUUGAACAUCAAUAUCUGCUGUAUGAGAGUUCAUCUCGUUAAUAUCAUAUCAUCAGCUUGAAUAAAUUUUAAUACUUCUGGACUUCUAUACAAGUAAGUCAUGCACUCUCAAUUUUGAUCAUUUCUGUCUAGAUAGCAGUACCAUAUGAAGUGUUCUAAUCUUGGGGGAUUGCCAGAAAGCUUGCACCUUUUAAUUAGUUUUUCCAAAAUAGACACCCCUUUUUUAGUUGUUCAGUUUGGCAGAAAUGAAAGGAGGUUAAAACUUUUACGAAGAUAUACAUAGAAUUUAUGGUUUUAUUUUCCUUCUUUCUUUUUCAUCCUCUAUUUUCCCAAGUUCAUAGUAUCUACUUUCAUCAAAUGCAUUUGCAUGUCUUGUUCUACCCAAGCAUUACACGCUCAAAACUUAUUCGAUUGCGAUCACAAGUUCGGCUGCAAAAGAUUUGACCACCUUAUUCGAUUAGUUUAACUCUUAUUGAACUUAUGCACAGGUGUUUCUACCAUACGCUACUCUUGUUUAUGUAAAUCCAGUGUCAGUAUAUCUAGAAUCAGAUUUCAUUUUACAUUACUAAAUUUUUCUAGAGAUCAAGGUUUAAAUGAUCAUUAACCCUCCCUAGAGUCCACAUUGGUGAGAGCCUCUCAAGCAAAGGUACGUCUUCUUCUAAAUCUCUUCAAAUAUUAAAUUUAUCUCACAUAAAAGAGAUUUUAUAUAUUAAUGCAGUCUGAAUUUUGAUAUAGAAUAACUUGUCAUCACUGUCAAGAUAACGCGAAUUCUGCCCUACAAAGACAGCCUGAGUUAGAGCAGGAGUAGCUUGGAUCUGAAUUGCAUGUACACUGGAAUUGCUUGUGAUGGUUUCGUAUGUGCUCUCUAACCUUCAAAGUUAUGGUGCUCUCAAAGAGCAAAUAAGGUUCAUACACAAGAGACUUGUUGUAUUUGAGAUGUUACUUGUGCUUCAUGCUUUGAGUCUUACUGUAAGUUUGUAUCCUCCAAACUGUACACUGCUAGAACUAUCCGACCGAAGAAGCCAUGGAUGCAUCUGCAGUUGCAACAGAUGGAGCUGUUUAAUAUGAUCUACUCAUGUAAUGAUCCUCUUGUGUUUGAGAUGCUUGUCUUCAUCAAUCAAAUACAAAUUGGUUGCAUCAUAAGCUCAAGUCCACCAAAUGUGCAGCUGCAUGAUCUUCUUGGAUCUCAUGCUCAGAUCUUUUCAGUUGAUGAGUCUCCCAUUAAUGGGGGACAUGCUGGUGCAGCUCAUGGAAUUGGGCCGAAGAGGCUUUCGCAUGCAGGAAUAAUCCAUUUAUGAUCAACAGAGUGUGGCCCCUCUCCGAGCCGCUCACAUUGAAGUUUGCCAUGGAUUCUGUGUCAUGACUCGGGAUGUAUACGAGCUUCAUUUGAUUACCUGUUGCCAUUAGCACUCAAAUGUAAGCAAAGUUCAUAAGAAUGUAAUUCUUGGUUCAAACUGUUUUGUGGACGCAAAACAAAGAAGAGGUGUUACAUCAACAUUUUCUUAUGGAUCUAAUUAUCACCCUCCAUAAAUAAGAGUGAUUAAGAUCAGGAGUGAAUCGAGAUUAAUAAUUUUUCUAGUAUCCAAUAAAUACAAAAUUAUGUAUUUUGAUUUAAUUAUAGACAUUAUCUUGUACAAAACUCGAGAAUUGAUUUUAAAUAAUUGUUAUUAUUUUUAUAAAUAAAAAUAUCUAUUGCUCAAAGAUAAUGUGUUAUUUAUAGAAAGGUUAGUUUGACUAGAAAUCCCACCACGAGAGAUUUCUUGAAAUAUAUUAAAAAUUAAUUAUUUUGAUCAUCUUGGCUAAACAAAAAAAUGUUGGUAAAAGGAAAACUUAGGUACUAAGACAUCAAGUUGGUAUCAUCAGCAAGAUUUGUAUAAAUUAGAGAGUCCAAUACACAAUCAAAACUGGAAAUUUAAACUUUAGAAUUACAAUCCGUAUUGUUAUAUUUCACAUAUAUGUUAUUCCCAAUUUAUCAAAGGACCAUUCAUAUUUAGAUCAGGAUCGAUGCCCUUCAAUUAUAAUUGUAAUUGUAAUUAGAUCUAUCUAUUCCUUACCACCUAGCUCCGAUUAACAUUUUAUUUUGGGUCAUGAUUCGAGGAGCACGUAACAAAAGACAUUCACAAGCUUCGAAACAUCAAUUACUCUCAUGUUUGUUCUUGAAUUCUACAACUAGAAAUCUGAUCGUAAUAAAUUUUAAGUGCCAAAAGGAGACGUUUAAAGAUAAGAGAAUGAAUAUUAUUAUUUAUCUUUUUUUAAAUAUAUUGAAAACUAAUUAUUUUGACCAUAGAGUUGGUAUUAUCAACAAAAUUUGUAUAAAUUAGAAAGUCUUGUACACAAUAAAUUUAAAAAUAAUUUCAAGGAACAAGAUUUGAGUAGCCUUUGUGGAUUUGAGUAGAAGGUAUAGAUUUAUUAUUUAUGGAAAUAGAACUUAUUGGUGAAAUCGAUAGGAAAUAUACUCAUUGGCCUUAUAGAGAAUCAAAAGAUUUUUUUAAAAAAACUAAAAAACAUAAGUGGUCAACUAAUUAGUUUCAUAAUUUUCUUUCCGUGUGUUGUUCUAUGAUUUGUUAUUAUUAUUGUUAUAGAUGAGAAGGUAUGAUAUAAGAAGACUAUAAAUAUGGUUUAAUUGUUAAUAAUUCAUAAAUACUAGGUUGUAUCUAAUACUAUUUCUUAUUUAUACAUGUCAACGGCUCAUAUUAAUUUUUUCUGUAUCGUUCUAAUUUUAUUAGAUGUUUCUGAGUUAUACUGGAUUUUGACGAAGAUAUUAAGUGAAAGAGUUGGUAAUAUCCUGAUUUAUCUUACGGAUAUGAGUAAGAUUGACUUAUAAAGAUAUGAUUGACUUGCUAUUAUUAAUUCAAACUUAAACACUUUAAUCAAUGAUUUGAGUUUUAAUAGCUUAUUAGUUUGUUAAGAGUAUCGACACGGAGAUACAUGAUUAAUCUAGUCUCACACAAUGAUAGAGUGAUGCAUAGUUAAUCCCUUUAUGCAAGAUUUACUUUUUUAACAUGAGAUGAUCAUUGUUUUCUUUGUUUUUCAUGAGUAAAGUUAGCAAGUUCUCGAAGAUAAAGAAAAAAAAAAUUGACGAGAGGAACAGUAGCAACAGAUUCUGAUCACAACCUAAGAUUCAAAGAUGAUGCAACCUUGCUGUUGCAAUAGUAGAUGAGACACUUGCUUUUGUUCGCAAUCGUCAGUCUUCCUUGGUCUUUCUAUUGAAAAGUACAAGGAAACAACUUGGCUCUGUUAGCUGGGAUUUAAGGUCUUCCUUCCUCUUGUUCAGUUGCAUUAUCAUGUCAAUUUCCAGGAGAGUUUCCCAGCGACUGCUGAUCGCUGUCUUUUUGGUGACCACAAAUCUUGUCUUUCUUUUAUUCGUGUUAAUAAUGGUUGUCUGAUAGCUACAAAUUUCUCCUAUUUAGCAGUUCUCAGGAAAUUCUCAAAACCUUCACAUUCAAGAAGAUGCUGGAGUCUUUAGAUGAAAGCUAUUCCAACUUUGGGACUCGUCAAAAUCAGAAGUCAUAGUUGACUGACUUGGGGAUAGACAACAAUAUGAAAUGAAGAACAAGUGCAUGAUAUUGGCAGACAGCCUAAUAGUUGAAGAUUUCUUGGUCUACUCUUUGAAUCCGUCAGUUGAAUAGUUUCAGACUAAUGGAGGAUGAUCCAAACAGGGCAUGAUAAGAUUUUGUGUAUUGCAAGCUGUCUACCGCAGAUUUCUCAUGAUUAAUCUUAAGAUAAGCUGCGUAUUUUUAUUAUAUGUAAUCUAAGAUAAUUGUGUUGGUGUGAGAUGAUCCACUGUGAUCAUGUAUACAAUUUUCCUCACAAUUGAUGGAAUCGUGGUCAUUGGUAAUAAUUAUUUUCAGGUGUAUUAAAAGGACAAAUCGAUCUGUUCUGUGAAAUUUCUUGCCAGUUUCUAUGCACUACCGGUGCCAGAAAUAUGAAAAUCUAAUUAAAUACCUUGACGAAUUAAGCUGCCAUUAUUGUUGUUUUUCAAGUUUCUUGGACUCAUUUUAGACAUUACAAGUGUAUGACAAUGGAUUUGCUCAGUAGAACAUCAUGGACACCUUCUAUCAUUGUCAACCUAGAAAAUGGNNNNNNNNNNNNNNNNNNNNNNNNNNNNNNNNNNNNNNNNNNNNNNNNNNNNNNNNNNNNNNNNNNNNNNNNNNNNNNNNNNNNNNNNNNNNNNNNNNNNNNNNNNNNNNNNNNNNNNNNNNNNNNNNNNNNNNNNNNNNNNNNNNNNNNNNNNNNNNNNNNNNNNNNNNNNNNNNNNNNNNNNNNNNNNNNNNNNNNNNNNNNNNNNNNNNNNNNNNNNNNNNNNNNNNNNNNNNNNNNNNNNNNNNNNNNNNNNNNNNNNNNNNNNNNNNNNNNNNNNNNNNNNNNNNNNNNNNNNNNNNNNNNNNNNNNNNNNNNNNNNNNNNNNNNNNNNNNNNNNNNNNNNNNNNNNNNNNNNNNNNNNNNNNNNNNNNNNNNNNNNNNNNUUGCAGCAAUCAUACUGGGCAUGUCGUCAAGCUGGACCUCCACAAUCCGCCUCCUUUAUCUUAUGUUGGUGGCGAGGCAUACAACAACUGGACCUUAGGAGGUGAGUUGAGGCCUUCUUUACUUGGUCUGAAGCACCUAAAGUACCUGGACCUAAGCAUGAACAAUUUUGGAGGCAUUAGUAUUCCAGAAUUCAUGGGGUCAUUCCAUAAUCUCCAAUAUCUUAUCCUCUCCAGUGCUGGAUUGGGUGGACUCCUACCUCACCAGCUGGGAAAUCUCUCCAAUCUGCAGUAUCUAGACUUAUACAAUGACAUUUUUGUGGCUCCGGUCCAUGAAUUUAGCAUUGGUGAUGCACUCUGGAUUUCUCACCUUUCUUCUCUAAAGCAUCUCAACCUGAACAGUGUUAACUUUCAAAAUGGUACUCACUGGCUGGAAGCUCUGAACAUGCUUCCUUCUAUUGUGGAGAUAUACUUAUCUGACUGUGCAAUUCAAAGUGUUCCCCUCUCUCUUCCACAUGUGAACUUUACAUCACUGUCUGUUCUUGAUUUGUCGGAUAAUCUCAUUAACUCUACGAUGCCCUCUUGGUUAUCCAACAUAAGUGGCCUUGAGCACCUUGAUCUCAGUUACAACAACCUUCAGGGUAAUAUUCCACCGACCUUUGGUAACUUGGCUUCCCUCGAGGAACUUAAUUUUAAUAACAAUUCUCUUCAAGGAGGAAUACCCACUUCCUUCAAAAAUCUGUGCAGGCUGCAGAAUUUAAUAUUGAGAGCCAUCAAUAUCAGCAAAGAUUUGUUAGAACUCGAUGAAAUUUUCUCUGGUUGCAUCAAGAUGAGCUUAGAGAGCCUGGACUUAUCCGAAACGAAUAUUCGUGGGCAGCUGCCUGAAUGGUUAUUCCAACUCAGGAAGCUUAAAUCACUCCAGUUGGAGCAGAAUCUGAUUUCUGGUCCUAUUCCUGUAUCAAUUGGACAACUAGCAUCACUCCAAGAGCUCUAUCUUGGGGUAAAUCAGUUGAACGAAACAAUACCAGAAAGUGUCUGGUGGCUAUCUCAGCUAGUCGUUUUGGACCUUGGGCACAACAAUUUGGAGGGUGUAAUGUCUGAGGCGCAUUUUGGAAACCUCACAGAAUUGAAAUACUUAAUUUUGUCGUCCAACUCCUUGGCUCUGAAGGUCAAGAGCAAUUGGAUUCCUCCCUUCCUGCUUGAAUUCCUUUGGAUGGGCUCUUGCAAACUGGGUCCUGAGUUCCCUGCAUGGCUCCAGUCGCAAAUAAAUAUUUUCGAAAUUGAUAUGUCUAAUGCUAGUAUUAUUGAUGCUAUGCCAAACUGGUUUUGGAGCUUAAUUUCCACAGCAGGAUCCGUGAGUAUCUCCGGCAAUCAGAUCAGUGGCCACGUACCAAAUUUAUUGCAUUUAAACAACCUCAUCGAGUUGGAUUUAAGUUCAAACUACUUCGAGGGUCCUCUUCCGUAUUUUCCUCCUGGAUUGGAAUUAUUAGAUCUGUCAAAUAAUUCAUUCUCGGGAACAAUUUCACUUGACAUCAUCAUGAAUAUGCCUGACCUCCUAUAUUUAUCAUUUUCAGAAAACAAUUUAAGUGGUGAAAUUCCCUUCUCUGUAUGCCAACUGCAGGCCUUAUGGGUUCUUGAUCUUUCAAAAAAUAUGUUGUCAGGAGAGAUCCCCAAUUGUUGGAAUAAUUCUUCCAGUAUCAAAGAUAUGGAUUUUUCAAGCAACAACAUAUCUGGAGUUAUUCCAGAGACCAUAUGUUCCAUAGAAUCGCUUCUGUCAUUGCACUUGGGCAGUAAUAGUUUAUCUGGAGAGUUGCCUUUGUCAUUGAAAGGUUGUACGAAAUUAGUCCUUCUUGAUGCUGGACAUAAUGAUUUGAAAGGUGAAAUUCCAACUUGGAUUGGUGAAAGUUUAACUAGUCUGAGGUUCCUCAAUCUACGAUCAAAUAUGUUGGACGGAGAUAUUCCUCCAAAUCUUUCAAAAUUAAGUGCUCUCCAAUUUAUCGACCUUGCAGAUAAUAAGCUGUCGGGAAGUAUUCCAAGGAGCUUUGGAAAUUUUACUGCCAUGAAAGUUAAUGGAAAGUUUUCAAGUAGGAUGACAGAUGCAACAAGUUACAAGGAGCAGAUGCUAGUAACAACUAAAGGACAAACUCAAGACUAUAAGAAGUCACUUUCGCUUAUGAAUAUUUUGGACCUCUCGGAUAAUAACUUAUUUGGAGAAGUACUCGAAGAACUCACAAGUCUUUCUGGCUUAUUCAGUUUAAAUUUAUCUGGAAAUUAUUUCACAGGAGAAAUCAUUGAAAAUAUCAGUAAAUUACAACAGUUGGAGUCCCUUGACUUGUCAAGGAACAACUUUUCUGGCACAAUUCCUUCUGGCCUCGCUGCCCUGACUUAUUUGGCUCACUUGAACCUGUCAUACAACAACUUAUCAGGGGAAAUUCCUCUUGGUAAUCAACUUCUGACCUUCACUGAUCCAUCUAUCUAUACUGGCAAUCCUGGUCUUUGUGGGUUUCCUCUGAAUCAAAGUUGCAAAGACAGUGAGACAACACAAGGUCAAAGUAAUCCAGAUGAUAGAGAUGAGAACGAGAUGAUAUGGUUCUACACGAGCAUGGCACCAGGAUUUGUUGUUGGUUUCUGGGCAGUCUGGGGUACCUUAAUACUUAACAAGAAUUGGAACCUUUACUACUUCCGAUUUAUAGACAACAUGCUUGACAAAGUAUAUGUGUUUACCGUACUGAAAGUUUCUAGGAUCAGAAAACGUUGUUGUUCUGAACAAGGAU